GAUGAAGAACGCAGCGAAAUGCGAUAAGUAAUGUGAAUUGCAGAAUUCAGUGAAUCAUCGAAUCUUUGAACGCACAUUGCGCCCGUCAGUAUUCUGGCGGGCAUGCCUGUUCGAGCGUCAUUACGCCCCUCAAGUCCCCUGUGGACUUGGUGUUGGGGAUCGGCGAGGCUGGUUUUCCAGCACAGCCGUCCCUUAAAUUAAUUGGCGGUCUCGCCGUGGCCCUCCUCUGCGCAGUAGUAAAACACUUGCAACAGGAGCCCGGCGCGGUCCACUGCCGUAAAACCCCCCAACUUUUUAUAGUUGACCUCGAAUCAGGUAGGACUACCCGCUGAACUUAAGCAUAUCAAUAAGCGGAGGA
rnacentral:misc_RNA from 1 species